UGUCAAAGUGUCUCUGAUGAACCACAACAAGUUUGUCAAGUGCAAGAAGACUUCAGCUGUGCUGGGCUCCAUCAACCCUGUGUACAAUGAGACCUUCAGCUUCAAGGCCGAUGCCACCGAGCUGGAUACCGCUAGCCUCAGCCUGACCGUGGUGCAGAGCAUGGAAGGGGACAUACCGUCUGGCAAAUGAUCUGCUUGGAUCCUCCUGGCUUUUUGAGAAUCGGCUGGCAUCAGGGUGCUGACUGACAAACUUCCCGGGGUCUGGGCACUGUGGGGACGGAGCCUGCAGACGGCGGUGUCCCCGCUAGGAGAGCCGUGGGGACGUGAUUAACAGGUCAGGCCGGGCCGCGAGGUGGCGGAGGGGCCACGCUUGCGGGCGUGGGGCGCUGGCAGAGCGCGAUCCGCGGCCUGUGGCCCGCAGCCGGACCCAAGCGCCAGCCUCCCGCAGCGUGUCUCCAGCGCCCUCUACUGUUCAGCAUCCUCCCCGCCGCGAGGGGAGCCGCGGAAGGGGAUUCUGGCUGUGAUCGCAGAGCAGGUAUUAAAGGAUGGAUUUGGAGGUGCGAGGCCAUACAUUGACAACGGGUAUACCAUGCGUCCCCAAACCUUCCCUUGUGUCCCCUUCCAAACACUACCUCUCCCUCCCCACCAAAAUAACCAGAAUAACCAACGACCUGAUUUUUAUGGCAAACACUGCUUUUACCACCUAACCAUGCAACUUCUCUCUCUCUCUCUCUCACACACACACACACACA
rnacentral:lncRNA from 1 species